rnacentral:snRNA from 1 species
AUCCUCUCAAGCCUAUUGGCUAAGAUCAAGUGUAGUAUCUGUUCUAUUUAGUGUGAUAACUAAAUCUGCGUACAUUGUACGUAUUCUAUUAUCACAAUUAUUUUUGAGCCUCUCCUGUGGACCCUGUGUGCUUGCACCAGACCCGGGAACUGGUGUCGCUGGCUUACACUGCCGCCUGCUGACGCCGAGCCCCU